rnacentral:lncRNA from 1 species
AGACAGAAUGAGUAAGGCGCUGUUCUUCUGAGACACAAUGGAGCCAAGUGAUGAGGUAUUGUAAGCUGUUUUACUCCUCACUAGGUAAAAAAAUGUUUGACAGAUCAUGGGCCGUUGAAUGUGAUUAAUCAUACGGAUGGAUUGUCAAAAUCACGGUCGUAGGACUAUAGGAGAUUUUUUCUUUUGUCAAAUAGGACCAUGGGAGUUAGGAGGGAUGUUUUCAUAUAAAAUAUUUUAGCAAGCGUUUUCACUAGAAACACGUCUAGCUUCUUAAUAAUAAAUAAUAAUUUAGGUUAUUUCAGGAAAAGUUCGUGGAAGUUAGGAGAGAUUGUAUUCCUAUAGAAUACUUAAGUAAUUAUUUUAUUACAAGUACCUCAAAUUUUUUAAUAAAAGUUGAAGUUAAUUCUGAAAAAGUUUAUCAAAAUGUGAAAAUUUUAUCAUGCUUCAAUAUAUGAUUUUACCAACUCCAUAGGACUUAUAGUAUCUUCAAAUGAAAUAUUAAAACUAUCAUAUAAACAUACAACAGUAAAAAAUGGCAGCAAGCUCUCUCCAAUCAAGCCUUCAAUUUCUUACAUGAUGCCGACUCAAUUCAAGACAAAACCUUUUGCUGUCAAAUUCGACUGCAACUGUCAAAUUUAUUAAAUGAUAUUUUAAUAGAUUGAUAUAAUAUAUAAUAAAUGUUCUUAUGCUUUUUAAAUAUUUGAUUAGUUGCCUCAAUCAUGAACCCCACAAAAAGGUUAUAAAAAAAAAUAUUACUAAAUGAUGUCAAAUUGCCACAUAAGUCAUUAAUACUAUUUUGAUGUUUAAAAUUUCACAUUUUAUUUGAAGAUGCUCUUAAGCUUUUCUCAUAAAAUAUUAUUAUUAGCAAUUUUAAGCAUCUGAAGCACUUUUAAAUAUCUAAAAACGCUUUUAGUAAAUUGUAAAUCCUCUUCCAAGCAGGUGGUAUGAUAUAUUGUAUCAUAGAAUUUAUGCAUGUGUUCUUCUGUUUAUAACGCCUUUUGAUUUUGUCCUUGCUUAUUUUUUGGCCGUUUUGUAAUUUUAAAUUCAAACAGAAGGCUUUUCCGGGAAAGGAGGAAGUAUUUUGGCUUGGUGUACGGUGCAGGUGGUGGACAUGCUUGGGCUUUGACAAGGUAAGGGAAUUGGAAUUACUAGAUUACCCUCAGUUUGACAGGUGGUAUGGUAUACGUGGGGCGGGAGCAUUGUCGUUCAAGGAGUGCGAAGCAGGGAAUGAAAUAUUUGAAAGGGUAUUGGAGUGAGUCGGGCUGGCGAACAUGCACAGUAUGGUCUGAAGGUUCGAAAUAGGCGUGGAUCAGGUGUGAGUCCAGUCCACGGAAGUAUGACUGCUAUAUGAUCAUUUUUUGACCACCACCUGCCAUUUGUUUUAGCCAAUCCACCACUAGACCAACCCUUAACCUGCCAAACAACACAUGGUGUUUAUCUCAUUUUUCAAAUUUUAGCAUUAUGCGCAACCACUUAGUAUUACG